CUUAGUCUGACGACACUUCAAGACUUAUGACUGCAAUGUCUGUCAUUGCAAAGAACAUGUUGUACUACUGUUUUUUUCAGUGAAUGUAUGUUGUUACCUUAGUUCGAUGUACUAUUAUAUUGUACUUUGGAACCAUUUGUCCAUUCCAAUACUAGAAAUAACUAGCAGAGGAAUGGUGGCGUGUGUUUGGAUUGUCAUUACAUACUUAAGAAAGAUUUAUACAUGACAUCUACAAGAUGAUAGUGAUGCAUAGCAUAAAAAAAUACUUAAGUGUUUAUAGUUUCACAGUAACAUGUUUAGUAAAAACAACUGAAGUGGAAAAAAAAUCAUCAGACAAGU